rnacentral:rRNA from 1 species
AUACGGGGGGUGCAAGCGUUAUUCGGAUUUAUUGGGCGUAAAGGGCGCGUAGGCGGCUUGGUAAGUCAGAUGUGAAAGCCCGGGGCUCAACCCCGGAAGUGCAUUUGAAACUAUCAGGCUUGAGUGUGGGAGAGGGAAGUGGAAUUCCUGGUGUAGAGGUGAAAUUCGUAGAUAUCAGGAGGAACACCGGUGGCGAAGGCGACUUCCUGGACCAAUACUGACGCUGAGGCGCGAAGGCGUGGGGAGCAAACAGGAUUAGAAACCCCAGUAGUCC